CUGCUCUCCUCUCACUUGUGUACCUGUCACUUCCUGUCUACUUGUUUCCUGUCUACCUGCCGCUGGCUUUAGGCUCAUCAGUGAUUCUGAGUCUGGAUUUCUCAGAUUAUGUAACAUGAUGACUCCUAUUAGGGUUAAGGGUUAAGGGUUAGGGUAACCCUCGGCCCGGCUGCUCACCUGGUUCUGCUCCAGUUGUUGCGAUAAUAUCACCUGGUGUCUGAGCCCACGUUGUCUGUCCUCAUCAGUUCAUCUUGAGGACAGGCAAGCUGAUUUCACCGGAACCCUGAAACGGGUCGGCUGCUGCAUUCUGCUCCGGGUCCAGUCCUUCCCUCCUGGUGCACAGCGCUUCUCCCAGCGGGACGCUUAGAUCAGCUGCAGCGGAUUGAUCAGCAGAUAAUCGAUCCUCUGGUCUACCCAGCGGCCUUUGGCUGCCUUAUUGACCCAACCUGAGUUUGGACCAACAGGUAACAGCAGGACGAGUUCUGGAAGACUCGGUUCAAACUCAAGACAUUUUCUGAUUCAGCCACAGAAGAUGUUGGAAGAUGGAAAUGUUUCUGAUAAUGUCAGAUCAAACCCAGACAGGAUGAAGUUCCGGAACAAAAACGUGACCAGUGACUGUCAGGAAACAGAAACGGGUCGGUCAGUAAAAACCACAUCCUGCUGAUUUAUUCUGCACUUCCAGGCCGUCUGACAGAAACUGAUGAACAUCAUGAAUUAUUGUUCUUAUUAACUUCCAAUACCGUCACAGGGAGAGCAAACGAAGACACGUAAAAGUGAAUCAAAUCUGCAGAGUUUCUCCCCUGCAGCCCCAAUUCAACCGAGAGCUUCAUCGCCGCUCCGCAGCCCAACCAGUCAGGCGAUAAAUGGACUGACGACAAAACAAAAACAGAUAAACUUUCCAAGCCAGUCUCUUCUCACGCCCCGUUUGGACACAAAUCUGAGGUUUUCCUCUCCAACCCACUGCUAUAAAUACCGUACGCAUUCUGCUCUGAAGAAAACACUCUGAGGUCAGGCAGACUGAAGGAUUUCUUCUCCAGGUUCUUCUUCGAUGUUCUGAGUUUCUCCACUUCCUUAUUCGUUUCUGUCUCUUCAGCUGAAGCACCAGACAUGUAAUCCUGCUCUUUAUUUCCAUUUAAUCCAGAGUAAAGAGCCAGAAAGGAGAAACACAUCCUGACCGGAUUUAUUUCCUUUACCGGCCCUCAGUCAUUUUCAGCCUCAUCAUUUAUUUCAUAAAGUGACAGAAGCUCCUGGUCGCUGCCACACGGCGGUUAUUUUAAACUGCCGUGUUUCUAUUUCCAUUCGAUUCAUGAUCCGUCUAACGCUGUGUGCGUCUUCACCUCUGGAAACGAGUGGGAGGCGAUUCUGCCUCUGAGGCUGUUUCACCUUUCAGCCCAAUUUAUGGAGAGAAGAACGGAAACGUUAAAAUGGCAGCAAAGAUUCACAUCAUGAAACGUUUCACAGCUUUCAGCAGCUGAUCAAGAACAAACUCCACAGGCAUGAUAA